rfam:Clostridium spiroforme DSM 1552 Scfld_02_2 genomic scaffold, whole genome shotgun sequence.
AACAUUAUUAAGGGGAGCUUGUUGUACAGGCUGAGAGGAAGGUAUUACCUUCGACCCAUAACCUGAUUUGGAUAAUGCCAACGUAGGGAUAAAAUACACUAUAAUU